CAGCUUGAGUUUCUCUUCAUUAUCAUAUAAAUCUUUCGACUUUUACUAAAGGCUUCAUGGAGAGGAACCUUUGUGAGUGUUCUGUAUUUUGGGGGGCUCUGCUCACAGCAGAGCU